AGAGUUUGAUCCUGGCUCAGAACGAACGUUAGCGGCGCGCCUAACACGUGCAAGUCGAACGAGAAAGGGCUUCGGCCCCGGUAAAGUGGCGCACGGGUGAGUAAUACGUGGAUAAUCUUCCCUCGAGCGGGGGAUAACAUUCCGAAAGGAGUGCUAAUACCGCAUAAGACCACGGAGCCGAAAGGCUCUGAGGUAAAAGCAGGCCUCUAUACAUAAGCUUGCACUUGAGGAUGAGUCCACGGCCCAUCAGCUAGUUGGUAGGGUAAUGGCCUACCAAGGCAAAGACGGGUAGCUGGUCUGAGAGGAUGAUCAGCCACACUGGAACUGAGACACGGUCCAGACUCCUACGGGAGGCAGCAGUGGGGAAUCUUGCGCAAUGGACGAAAGUCUGACGCAGCGACGCCGCGUGGGUGAUGAAGGCCUUCGGGUUGUAAAGCCCUGUGGGGAGAGACGAAUAAGUGUUGGCCAAUAUCCAGCAUGAUGACGGUAUCUCCUUAGCAAGCACCGGCUAACUCUGUGCCAGCCGCCGCGGUAAUAC
rnacentral:rRNA from 1 species